rnacentral:lncRNA from 1 species
AAACCCCAUACCAUUUUCAGUGUCCUGAUUUUGGUGCCCCCCACCCCGAUCCAUUUUUCAGAUAUUCCAGUGGAUUUUUUUUCUGUGAACCCAUGGGAAAUUUGGGUUUUAAGGA